rnacentral:rRNA from 1 species
GACGAACGCUGGCGGCGUGCUUAACACAUGCAAGUCGAACGAAGAGCGACGGAAGCUUGCUUCUAUCACUCUUAGUGGCGAACGGGUGAGUAACGCGUAAUCAACCUGCCCUUCUGAGGGGGCCAACAGUUGGAAACGACUGCUAAUACCGCAUACGACCUAACCUCGGCAUCGAGGAUAGAUGAAAGGUGGCCUCUACAUGUAAGCUAUCACUGAAGGAGGGGAUUGCGUCUGAUUAGCUAGUUGGCGGGGUAACGGCCCACCAAGGCGAUGAUCAGAAGCAGGGCUGAGAGGAUGAACGGCCGCAUUGGGACUGAGACACGGCCCAGACUCCUACGGGAGGCAGCAGUGGGGAAUCUUCCGCAAUGGACGAAAGUCUGACGGAGCAACGCCGCGUGAGUGAGGACGGCCUUCGGGUUGUAAAGCUCUGUUAAUCGGGACGAAAGGCCUUCUUGCGAAUAGGGAGAAGGAUUGACGGUACCGGAAUAGAAAGCCACGGCUAACUACGUG